rnacentral:rRNA from 1 species
GAUGGACGCUGGCGGCGUGCCUAAUACAUGCAAGUCGAGCGAACAGACGAGGAGCUUGCUCCUCUGACGUUAGCGGCGGACGGGUGAGUAACACGUGGAUAACCUACCUAUAAGACUGGGAUAACUUCGGGAAACCGGAGCUAAUACCGGAUAAUAUAUUGAACCGCAUGGUUCAAUAGUGAAAGACGGUUUUGCUGUCACUUAUAGAUGGAUCCGCGCCGCAUUAGCUAGUUGGUAAGGUAACGGCUUACCAAGGCAACGAUGCGUAGCCGACCUGAGAGGGUGAUCGGCCACACUGGAACUGAGACACGGUCCAGACUCCUACGGGAGGCAGCAGUAGGGAAUCUUCCGCAAUGGGCGAAAGCUUGACGGAGCAACGCCGCGUGAGUGAUGAAGGUCUUCGGAUCGUAAAACUCUGUUAUUAGGGAAGAACAAAUGCGUAAGUAACUAUGCACGUCUUGACGGUACCUAAUCAGAAAGCCACGGCUAACUACGUG